AACACUGCCCUGUCUCUCCCCAGGAAUGUCCUAGUUCCUCCUUCUGCAUAUGUGAGGCCUUUUUGCCCAGUAUUUCAUGGAGUAUUGGGAAUGUGGAUGAAUAUUAUUUGCACUUUAUGGAUGGAGAAGCGAGAAAGCCACCGUCCUGCCCACCCACCAGUGGGUCAGAAAGAGAAGACUGAAUCCUGUUUUCCUGCUCAAUAGCUUCUGAAAGAAGCAUAGGACCUCAACUGUGAAAUGCAUUUGUUACAGCGUAAAGAGAAUCACUAUGUUGCUGGGAAUGAAGAUGCAGUCUUUCUGGCAAAACACUGGGGGAAACAGUUAAGACAUCCUAACUGCUCAUAUCCUGAGAGCUGAAUUCUUGCUGUUCCUGUAAAGUCAAAGCUAACAUCUGAGUGAGGAGAACUUGUCCUCCAACCUACGUGGAUGCUCCUGCCCCGCACCCAGGAAACCCACACAGACAAGGGACCAGGGAACCAGUGAUCUAUGACUUGCUGCCUCUCUGGGUCUGCAAACAGGAAUUACAAAGAACAAGAAGCAGAAAUGAAAAGCAGAAACAAGGCCAAGCAUCAGUUCUGGAGUCAGAUCAGCAUUGGAGAGCUGGAGCCCUCUGGACUGCUUCCUCUUUUCCUCAAGUGAACUCCUGGUGGAAACAUAAACUAAGGCUGAAUUCACUUUGAACCAAGAGCAAGACCUCAAAGGAAGCUUUGGCAAAGAGGAAAGCAGGGUGAAAACAGGAAAUACCAGAGAAGACUGCUCUUAAAGUACAUCCACAACAUAGAGCACCACUGCAGUAGUCACCUUAUGGCGUGUAUGCGACGUCUUGUGGAUUCUGUGAUUUUUGGUGAUUUAGCUCCUCCAAGAUGUGAAUUUACCC